GGCGCUCCGGGAAGGGAAAGAGUUGGAUGCGGCAAGCACGUGGGGUGCUGCCACAUGGGUCUCAGAGAAGUCAGAACCGCGACUGUGCAGGCCUCGCUGUGUGGCCCGGGCGAGUUCCUGGAGCUCUCUGGAAAGCCUAGGCUCUGAAACCUCCAUUUCACAAAGGGGAAACUGAGACUCUGAAAAGCCUCCAUGGAAGCAAAACCCGAGAAGGGGAAGCUGACCUUCCUAAAAGCCAGAGGCCAUUUCUGGGGCAUCAACCACACCCCCAAACAGGAGCCCUGCAGCGCCACCCCCAGGCAAUGGAGGGAGGCGCGUGGUGCCUCCUGUCUCUCUGCUGCUAAGUCGCUUCAGUCAUGUCCGACUCUGCGCGACCCCAUAGACGGCAGCCCACCAGGCUCCCCCGUCCCUGGGAUUCUCCAGGCAAGAACACUGGAGUGGGUUGCCAUUUCCU